GGUUGGUCAGAGAGCAGAAGUGUGCACAAACAGCUGAUCCCAGNCAGCUACAGAUGUCUUUGCCACUUCUCCACUCCCAUUGCUUCACUUGACCCACCUUAG
rnacentral:Y_RNA from 1 species